GACGGGGGGGGCUAGUGUUAUUCGGAAUGACUAGGCGUAAAGGGCACGUAGGCGGUGAAUCCGGUUGAAAGUGAAAGUCGCCAGCUCAACUGGCGGAAUGCUUUCGAAACCAAUUCACUUGAGUAAGAUAGAGGAUAGUGGAAUUUCGUGUGUAGAGAUAAAAUUCACAGAUAUACGAAGGAACACCAAAAGCGAAGGCAGCUUUCUGGGUCUCUACUGACGCUGAGGAGCGAAAGCGUGGGGAGCGAACAGG
rnacentral:rRNA from 1 species